rnacentral:rRNA from 1 species
UUAUCUAAUCAGUGAAACUAAUCUCCCCGUGAAGAAGCGAGGAUACUCUUAUAAGACGAGAAGACCCCAUGGAGCUUUAAACCCAAUUAUAUCUCUAACCACUAUAACCAUUUAACCGCUUAGAACUUAUAUACUUGGUUUUAGGUUGGGGCGACCACGGAGCACAACCAAACCUCCACGAUGAACGGAACAACCCCCUUAUCUGAGAAUUACACUUCUAAGAAUUAGCACACUAACAUAAAAUGACCCAUUAUUGAUCAACGAACCAAGUUACCCUGGGGAUAACAGCGCAAUCCAUUUUAAGAGCCCCUAUCGACAAAUGGGUUUACGACCUCGAUGUUGGAUCAGGAUAUCCCAGUGGUGCAGCAGCUGCUAAAGGUUCGUUUGUUCAACGAUUAAAAUCCU